rnacentral:sRNA from 1 species
GCCAGGUGCAGUGGUGCACGCCUGUAAUCCCAGUCACUCAAGAGGCUGAAGCAGGAUGAUCACAAGUUUGAAGCCAGUCUUGGCAAAUUAGUGAGACCCUGUCUCAA